AUCUCCCCACUUCUUCAUGCUUAAUUCUUACUAUAAUAUCUCUAAAUUUGUUUACCUUCUCUGCAGCCGUGCUGCUAUAUGCAUCCAUCUUCAUUGGUAAGAACUCCCCUUAUUAAUUAUUAAUUUUUUUUUUUUUUGAAGUUACGAUAGUGGAUCAUAUUUUAUUAGCAGAUACAAAAUGAUAAUUCCUAAAUGUCUUCUUAUGCCAAGUUCUUGGGGUGGGGGGUUGCCUAAUUUUGAGACAUACCUUUUGGUUAAGAGUAUGCUUUUCUACAAAUCAUGAUGGUCUAGAUUUUAUAUGAUUUUUCAACUAGGCGAAAAAAUUCUAACACCAAACCUAACCAUGUUGUGUAUUUAUCUUAUAAUUAAUAAGAAAUAAUGAUUUCCGUCUUGAUUUCCCCCCAAAUUUCACACACAGCUACUUCAGGGGGCAAAAUUUAUCUUUGGGAGUCUGUUUGUGAUUGCAUUCUUGAUCUAUAUAUGGCGACGAAGACAUCUAUCAGCAUAUGAUACAGUUGAGGAAUUCCUACAGACUCAUAACAAUCUUAUGCCAGUCGUGAGGUAUUCUUAUUCAGAGAUUAAGAAGAUGACCGGAGGUUUCAAGGAAAAGUUGGGGGAAGGAGGUUUUGGUUGCGUGUACAAGGGAAAGCUUCACAGUGGACAUUCUGCAGCGAUAAAAUUGCUGGGCAAAUCCAAGGCUAAUGGACAAGAUUUCAUCAAUGAAGUCGCUACCAUUGGAAGGAUUCGCCACACCAAUGUAGUGCAACUGGUUGGUUUUUGUGCUGAGGGAUCAAAGCGCGCUCUUGUAUAUGAUUUCAUGCCCAAUGGAUCUCUCAAUAAUUUUAUUUUUUCUCAAGAAAGAUCUGUCUCCUUAAGCUGGGAAAAACUGCAUGAGAUUUCCCUUGGAGUGGCUCAUGGCAUCCAAUAUCUACAUCGAGGUUGUGAGAUGCAGAUCCUACAUUUUGACAUCAAGCCUCACAACAUUCUUCUCGAUGAACAUUUCACUCCAAAAGUUGCUGAUUUUGGACUUGCUAGGUUGUGUCCAACAAAUGAGAGUCUUAAAUCUCUCACUGCAGCAAGGGGAACGAUAGGAUACAUGGCGCCAGAACUGUUCUACAAGAACAUCGGGCGUGUCUCAUACAAAGCUGAUGUUUAUAGCUUUGGAAUGUUGCUGUUGGAAAUGGCAGGCAGAAGGAAGAAUCUGAACGCAUUGGCAGAGAAUUCAAGCCAGAUUUACUGGCCAUAUUGGGUUCAUGACCAAGUCUCUAAUGAGAAGGCUAUAGAAAUUGGAGAUGGUAGCACGGAAGAGGAAAAAAAGAUAGUCAAGAAGAUGAUUAUUGUAGGGUUGUGGUGUAUACAAAUGAACCCUGUAAAUCGGCCUGCAAUGAACGAAGUUGUGGAGAUGCUUGAAGGAGACAUGGAAAGCCUGCAACUGCCUCCGAAACCUGUUCUAAAUCUAGAUGAGAAGCCAAUGAACACUUGUGGAGAGUCAUCUUCCAUGUCUGAUUAUUCUUCGGAAUCAGUCAGCAUGGUUGAAAAUGCAUCUAAUUAAGUGAUCUGCUAUGAAAUACUUUGCUCAUGUGCAGGGGAAGGCUUGUCCCGUGAAUGAUACUAGUUCUUUGAAAGUUAAUUCCAUUAUGAUGAACUGUAUUGAGGCACCUUAUUUCCUGGUUGUGUAACUAGAAUCAUCAAAAUGCAUAUCAUAUUGAAUAGAAUUUAGUUCAAUAGAAUGCGAGUACAAAUUCAAGAAUAAAUAAAUACUCGGAAAAUAAAGCAACAUAUAUAAAUAUCCAAGAGAUUAACUAGUUGUACUCAUCAUAUAAUCAACAUAUAUUUUUAUUUAUAUUAUAUGCAUAUUAAAGAUUAUCUCACUCAACUGGAAAAUAUAGAAAUAAAAUGAAUAUUAGAUAAAAGACCAGAAAAUCUUAUUGAGGAUCGUUAGGAAAACAUACAAUAAAUAUACAAAAUAUCUACUAAAAAACAACCUAAAACAAUCCAAAUAAAAGAUUCCAAUGCAUAAAAUAAAACCAUGUUUAUCCUCCUGAGUUUAGGGACUAAAACAAUAAUUUUUCCAAAAUAGGAGCCAAAAUAUUUGCUGCCCCUUUAGCCUAAACAGUAGUGAUCCAUUAAACUGUGGAAACCCUCUCUAUACCCUCCAUUGCGAGAAAAAUACCUCCACAGUUUUGUAUUUAGACUCACGAGAAUACUACGUGCAGGCAAUCAACUACAACAACUUGACAAUCCGAGUGGUUGAUGCUGGUGUUACACAAAAUGAUUGCUCUUCUCUUCCUCAUUUUUCUUUAACAUAUGCAAGAUUAGGUAAUUCCAGAAGUGCAUAUAAUAUUUCUACUUCAACAAAUACAGGCUUAGAUUAUAUCAGAUUUCCAUAUACAUGGUUUCAAUACAAAGAGACAAGGCGGAAAUGGAUUCCCGAAUACAAGCCUCUCCCGUUAUCGCAGAUGAUGAUUUUUAUAAACUGUGCAAAUCCAGUGAAUUCUCCUCUGUACGUAGAAUCCGGUACUUGCCUUAAUGGAGAAAAAUCUUCCAAUGUUUCACUCUUGAGGCGUUCUUAUGUGAAUAUUGGUGGCAUGAAGGCCUCGGAUCUAAUGGAACUGUGCAGCUUAGAGAGGAUGACGUUGUUGCCAGCCAAGGAUUACAAGAACAUGUCCUUUAAGGAUAUUCAGAGUCAGCUGGAAUACGGGUUUGAGAUUUCAUGGCACAAUAGCAUGUGUGGGAGUUGUGAAUAUGAAUGCUACAUCUAUGAUUCGAACCUGACACGCUGCGCAGGUGGGCAAUAUUGAGUAACAAACUGUUCGUUUUUCUAUCUCCAACUUCUCUUGUCUCAAAAUAUAUGAUUACUCUGUUUCUGAGAUGGCUGCCAGCUCUUGAUGAAGACGCCUCCUUAGCAUACCUGUGUUCGUUCUCUUCAUUGCUGUGGAGCUAAGAGGAUUAGGAGGUGUACUUAACCUGUCUCCUUCACCUUCCAGCAUCUGGACAACAAUUUUCAUGGAAGGACGGUCCACUGGGUUCCACUGGAUGCACCACAGUCCCACAAUGGCUAGCUUCUUCGCAAUUUUAGCAUCCCCUUCUUCCUCGAUUUGGAACCGCAGGUCUUCUCCUUCUUCUAAAAGAUUAUAAAUCCAUUCUGGGAAGUAUACUUGAUCACCAUUUUCUGCUGUAUCAUCAACAUUUUUCCUUCCACCAACCAUUUCUAACACCAACAUUCCGAAACUGUACACGUCUGUUUCUUGAGAACACUUCAGGUGCUAUGUAGCCAACGGUUCCCCGAGCUGUUGUCAUGGAAAUAGCACUUUUAUACUUGGAACACAACUUAGCCAGACCGAAAUCUGCAAUCUUGGGAUUGAAGUCAUUGUCCAGCAGGAUAUUAUGCGGUUUGAUAUCAAAGUGGAGGAUUGUUUGAUCACAACUCUGGUGAAGAUAUUCAAUCCCUUUGGCUACUCCAAGGGCAAUAUGAUGCAGCCUUUCCCAGCCAAGGAAAACAUUCUUGGUGUUUGCAGAAGAUAUGAACUUCUGCAGCGAAUCGUUUGGCAAGUACUCGUAAACUAGAGCUCGUCUGAAUCCAUCAGCACAGAAGCCAAUCAAGCGGACUACAUUGACAUGGUGAAUCCUAGCCAUUGUUUCCAUUUCAUUGACGAAUUCCUCUCCUUUUUCUGAUGAAUUGUUUAGAACCUUAACAGCCACCGGAAUCUCACUGGUUAGCAUUCCUUUGAACACAGUUCCAUAAGCUCCUUGCCCCAAUUCAUCCCUGAAUUGAUUUGUCAUCUUUUUGAGAUCAGCAUGGGAGUAUCUUGUGGGGUUCAUAGCUCUGUAAUCAUCCAAAAACCUUUCAACCUUGUCCUGAUAUUCUUCUUCUGAUUUUCUGAAGCUAUAGAUUUGGUAGACUGCAAUGACCAAAACCCCGAAAAGGAUGGAUCCUGUGGUUACGCCUGCAUAUAUAAACAAGCCUUUUGAGUCAAGAGACAUGUUCUUUUUUGGAAGCAAUGUAUUGGAGCAAAUUUGAGAACAACUAACCUAAAGUCAGUCGCUUUUUCCGUGCACCUGUAGAAGAUAAGAACCCUUGUUAAGCUCUAAUUUUCUGAAAGUUUCUGAAGUCAUGAUAAUAUCCUCUAUUUGUAGAAUCAAGAACGCUAAAUGCACAGGGAACCCACUUGUCAGUGAACUCACUAGUAGAUAGGACUUAGGUGUUCAAGGACACUUGCAAUACAUUAAUCAAAGUAGAGAUGUAGACUUAGUGAAGCAAGGAAUCAUAGAAAAUCAAGAUGCCAUGAACACAGAACAAUGAAAAGAAAGCUUAAAGCUAAAGAUACCUUUCUCUGGUCUGGGAUUGAACCAGGAGAGACGAAUAUCUUGUGGAACAGGUAGGUCGUACAUCUUGGUACAAGAUAAUAAUAACUCGUUGUCAUCAAUAGAUUGUUCUGAAUCAACGGCAAGAACGUCAUAGUGGAGAGUGCUGAGACAAGGGAUUUUAGGCCGAGAUGUUGCGUUAUUUAAAGAGCAAUUGAAGAUGGUAAAAUUGUCCUUGGACAUCUUAAACUGUAUGUGAAACACAGAGGAUUUGAAGUUUGAGUGGUGGCUUCGAAGGCAACCUUGGGGAUCACUUGCCUAAAUAACUUGAUUUUUGUAGUCAAUCUUAUCUAUGUAGAGUUUCACUGCAGCUGGCAGCUCGAGCACUAUAUCGCCCAUCUCAUUACAAGACAGAUCAAAACCAUAAUAGCCACACUGUUCUGGCUGCCUAUCCUCUUGGGUCAGGAUUUCUCUGGUGAUGGGGGAGAGAACAAGGAAUUCUUGUUUUUUAUUAAUAAAAAAACAGAUCGAGUCGUCACCUAAUAUUUUGAUCAUUAGAUACUCUAACUAGUUUUAGAGUUUAGAUACGAGAACUAGUUGUGUAUAGAGAUGAUUUAUCAUCCCUUGUACACCUUACGUAAAGUAAACUGUAUUGUUUAUUUGUCUGAUAUAAACUAAGAUAUUGUUGUGUUUUUUAAUUGUUGAUCUGUCUAAGGUUUAAGAAAAGUUCUUCUUGAUAACAAGGUCCUUAUCUUAUUAGGUUAAAUCCUAGUAAUUCUAAAAUCAAAAUGUAAAAAUAAAAGAAAGUGUCUUUUUAUUCAAUAUCAUGAAUGCAUCUUAUGUUUAAGUUCACAGUCUCAUUUAUUAAAAAGAAACAAAAUAAUUUUUUUAGGUAUUUUUAAAAUAUAGACCAAGUUCUCAAGACUUUAAUAAACCAGUUAUCAAAUUCAAUGCGCAUGUAAAAUAAAAAGACUAUUUUUUGUGAUUUCUUAAUAUGCUAUAAUAUGCAAAUAUAAUUUAUUUUUGAGAUAUUUGACCAUUUGCACACAAAUAAAAAUAUAUUUUUGUAUUUUUCUUUGAAUAAUAGUGACACGAUCAAAAGAUUGAUGUCUUAUCCCAAGUGCAGGAGUGCCGAAGUAAUAAAUAACCUAGCAAGACCGGUGUCGAAUCACAUGGAGGUUAACUAUAUAAAUUAACAAGAAGAAGAAGAAGAAGAAGAAGAAGAAGUUAAAGAGGACUUUGAGAUUGUAAGAUUAACAUGAGGUUUGAACAAUGAUAAAAACAAGUGUCAGGUUAAAGGAUCCACUAAUAGUAUUAGAUAUAAGUAAAAGUAUAAACUCUUUAUAAAUUAUUAACAUGAUCAUAUUAAUCAUUUUAUUUAUGUAAUACCAUAUUUAUAAAUUUUAUCAAGUAUUCAUGAUGUUAACUUAUGUUGACAGUAAAUCAAGUUCCUCUUAUAAUAACGAUGUCGACUGAAAGAUCAAGUAUUUGAUAUACCAAGUGUUAUACAACACAAAUCUAGAUUAACCAUUUAACAAGUAAGGUAUUAAGAAUUAAUAAGAUAAAAAUGAUAAGACAUGUUAAUAGUAAUGUGAAUUAAUAUUUUGGUUCUACUGGGCAUUCAAGAGUUGAUAUAUAUAUAUAUAUAACUGUUCUUAAUAAUUCACAUUUUGUUAUGUUUUGAUUGUUGGUGUUGAUGAUGGAGAGAAAAAAAACUUUGAGAAGAGCAGGGUAAAGGGAGAAGGAUGAGCUCCGAGGUAGUGUAGACUAAAUUGAUUGGUCGCGCUUCACUGUGGGCUGGGUUAAUUUCUUUGUAGCUGAUAAAAACGAUGUUAAAGCUUGACCACUGUCUUCUAAAAAGUGGAAAAAAAUUAAUGACUCAAACAUAAUCGAAAAAAAACUAAAAAAUAAUAAUCUUUAAACUGAAUCAAACUCUAAAAUAAUAAAAUUGAAAAAAAAAAUCUAUACAAAAAAAUACUAAAAAAUAAAAUACUAGUAAGAGAUCAUCAAAAUAUGUCAAACCUUAAAUAUUAAAAAAAUAUUGAAUUCAAGGAUUAAAACAAAUUCAUAAAAGAAUCCAAAACAUAAAAAAAAAAUUCAAUUUUCAAUCAAUUCAAUGAUUAUAGAUGAAAAUUUUAAAAAUAAUUAAAAAUUAUUGAAGUGAACCCAGUCCAAUCUUCCAAUUUGUAAUAGAUCAUGAGACCAGAUCACAACUUAAAAGAAAAACAAGAAAAAAUAAAAAUGUAAAAUUCUAAAUCAACCAAAAUAAUUAGGGAUAAACAUGAAAAAAAAUGAUUUUAAAAUGUAGAUUUGAAAAGAAAAAAACCAAAUUUGACUAAAAAAAACAAAUCAUAAGGGAUGAAAUUAGAAAAUAAUUUCAAUUAAGAAAAUGAUAAAAACAACAAAAAACAACAAUAAAAAAUAAGUAUUAUAUUUGAUAUAAAAAUAAAAUGUCAAGAUAUGAAAUUUAAAAACAAAUUAAUACAAUAAAUGAUUGAAAACAAAAAAACAUUAUAAUUAGAAGAAUAAAAAUCAAAUCUAAUAUAAAAAUAAAGUAUAAAUGGAUGCAAUUAAAAAAAUAAUUAAUUUAAUGAAUAAUUCAAAACCAAAUAAAUUUGAUUAAUUUAAUGAACAACACUAACAGGAAAGAUCCCGCCGGGUUGGUUGUGCUCCAUUCACCGGUGAACGUCACCGGCCACACAAUCCCGACCAGUGGUUUUGAAAGGCAGAACCUUAGAAACCCAAAAUCGGAAAAUUUGAAUCACCCUCUCUACUCCUUCCUAAGAAAAUCCCUCCUUACAAUCCCCCCUCUCUUUAUCCCAGCAAAGACAAGAGAACAAAAUGGUGGAAGAGAAGUCACGCAUCUGAGCAUCAAAAGCAAGGAAAGAAAAAACCAAAAAUAGUCUUUCAUCCAAAAACCAUAAGGACGAGAAUAAAAAUGGACCCCAUGAAAUAUUUGUCUACAGUGUUCCGACUUGGGACAGCGUCAACAAUUUCACCUAAAAACAGCGCAUUAUUUCUUUCUUGCCCUCCUACCUCCACAUCUUUUUUCUGAAUAUUUCCAUAACCUGCGAACUUAGCCAUCCUACGAAGAAAAACGCUUUCCUUUUAUUGUAAUUCUUUUAUUACUUACAAGUGGGGCCAAUGGCAAAUGGAGUAAAUUAGUGAUUGACUAGCCUUAUUCCCAAGCUCUGCUGUGGGUGAAGUUUCAUGUUAAUUUUUAACGCAAGAACACAAAACGAUGGAUGCAUUUUGGGGUCUUCGGAAUUAUCUAUGUUUAAUAAAAUAAAAUAAAUAAAUAAGAGAUAUUAACACUAAUUAAAUAAUAGAAUGAAAAUUUAAUCAUGUAAUAAAAGCAAAAAAUAAAUACAAAUGUAAAUUCUUGAUACACGUGCCGUUUAAAAUGCAUCAACACUUUCUACAGGCAGGCACAUAUAGCUUUUUAAAAUUAAAUAUUAUUUUAUUAUUAUAAAAUACAAUAAUAUCUUGAUAAAAAAAUAAUAAAUAACUAACUUGAAAAGACUUAAAUAUCCCUUGAUCAAAAACAUUGAUUUUGUUCACUUAAAAGAGCAUUUUAGUAAUCUAACCAUAACUUAAAAUAUAAAAGACUGAUAAUACCCUCAAACUAAAAACAUAUAAACCAACAAUACCUUCUUAAGCAAGAACACCUGUUAUUUAAAUGAGAGGUUAAAUAAUAAUAAUUUUACUAUUAUAAUACACAAUAAAAAGUGUAUUUCGCUGCUCCAAGACCCCUUCCGAUUCAGUAUAUAUGUUAUAUAUUUAUGCAAUGUAAAUAUACUUGGUUGCCUAUGGUAAAUUAAAGGUACAAUACGGCUGCCCUUACUGAAUAUAUUUAAUCAAAUUUAAGACAAUCAUCAUAAAACAAGGUACGUAUGGCUGCCCUUAGUGAAUUAAAGGUCCUUUUUGGAGGCCAAGAUCACACUAUACAUUCCGAAAUGACUAUAAGUACAUAUCUAAAAUAAAAAUCGAAGUGCUUUGUCACUAAUCAGUAUAGAAAGAAUAGUAAUGAAAAAUUCAGAGGUAUAUUUUAAUUGAUUAUAUUUUAAAUUUAUGUUUUAGAAAUUAUCAGUUUAAAUCUCAAAAAUUUAAACAAAAUUUCCAUGAUCCAUGCAGUAGUUGUAAUGUAUGAUUUACAUUAUUUUUCUUUUUUAUCAAAUGUUAAUAGUUUCAUCAAGGCCGUAGGUUCAUGCUAGAUGCGUUAAGCCCAAUGCUUUGGUCUUAAUAAAUUGGCCGCGUUAAAAAACAAAGUUGAUCCAAAAAUAUAUUUUAAAAAUAUUAUGUAACACAGGACAAAUCAUGCAAGUUCAAUAAUUAUGAAAAAUAUUGUUUUAUUUUUUUCUUUAAAAAGGUAAAGUGAACAAUUAAUGUGAAAGAUGGAGUGGUUAAAUUGUUUUUUAAAAUGUUUUUUAUUUAUCAAGAUCCUGAGCAAUUUAGACUCACUCCAAGUUCUGCAAUGAACAUGAAAUAGAACAAGCAAAUAGCCUUUUUUGUUGAACCCCCCAUCAUUGCCUCCUAUGGUGAUAGAGUUUCGACCUAACAGUAUCUAGAUAUUGCAGAAACAAUAGUAAACUCAGAUGGGAACAGCAAUGGUAACUCUGAUACCUUCUUUUUAUGACAGCUGAAGGGUAAUUCUGAUACCUUCGUUUUACUUGCCUAGAUUAAGUACUCAGAAUUGACCUCUCUUGCGUUCAAUGUAGUUCCGUGUCAACAAGGAUUAUUGCACCCUCACUUUCUUUCCACUUUCAAGGGAAAGAGGAGGGAAGCAGAGCUUGGACUUACCUGGUACACUUGGGUUGUUGAUCUUUGGAUUUUUUCACAAAUUAUUGCCAAGAAGGUUAUCAUGUUCUCUAUUAUAUGUUGACGCUUGUGGUGUUUAGAAUUGAUGGAUUUGUGGUUUAUAUCAAAGUCAUCCUUGACAUUUCAAAGGAUGACUCGGUGAAUUUAAUAUACUGAUGAAACUCUUGCAUUAAAAAACUGGCUUUCAGGUGUGGUGAAAUAUUUAGAUAUGAUUUAUAUUAUUUUUUUAAUAUAUAUGUUCAAUUAAAAGCCUUUUGUGCUUAAAACUUGUACAGACUCCUACUACCUUAUAUUUAAUUUUUAUCAAAUAAAUAAGAGUGAUGAGAAUCAAAUUAUUACUAAGAAGGUUAUCAUAUUGUCUAUAUGUUGACCCUUGUGGUGUUGAGAGUUGAUGGAUUUGUGGUUUAUAUCAAAGUAAUCUUUGACAUUUCAAAGGAUGACUUGGUAAGUUUAAUAUGUUGAUGAAACUCUCGCAUUGAAAAAUUGGCUUUCAGGUGUGGUGAAGUAUCUAGAUAUUAUUUAUAUUAUUUUUUAAUAUAUAUGUUCAAUUAAAAGCCUUUUGUGCUUAAAACUUGUACAUACUCGCACUACCUUAUGCUUAAUUUUUAUCAAAUAAAUAAGAAUGGUGAGAUUCGAAUUAUUUCUAAGAAGGUUAUCAUAUUGUUAGAGCGUGUUUGAGAGUGUGGUUAUUGUUGCUUUUCAAAGUAUUUUUCACUUAGAAAAGCAUGCCAAUAAUAUUUUUUUUUUUUAAAAAAAUUAUUUUUGAGAUCAGCACAUCAAAAUGAUUUGAAAACAUCAAAACAUACUAAUUCAAAGCAAAAAAAAAAAAUUCAAUAUUUUUGAAAAAUGCUUUUCUACCGCACUACCAAACGACCUCUAUAUGUUGACGCAUAUGGUGUUGAGAGUUGAUGGAUUUGUGGUUUAUAUCAAAGUAAUCUUUGACAUUUCAAAGGAUGACUUGGUAAAUUUAAUAUGCUGAUGAAACUCUCACAUUGAAAAACUAGCUUUAAGGUAUGAUGAAAUAUCUAGAUAUGAUUUAUAUUAUUUUUUAAUAUAUUUGUUUAAUUGAAAGUCUUUUGGGCUUAAAACUUGUACACACUCGCACUAUCUUAUGCUUAAUUUUUAUCAAAUCAAUAAGGAUGGUGAGAUUCAAAUUAUUGCUAAAAAGGUUAUCAUAUUUUCUAUAUGUUGACACUUGUGGUGUUGAGAUUUGAUGGAUUUGUGGUUUAUAUCAAAGUAAUCUUUGACAUUUCAAAGGAUGACUCGGUAAAUUUAAUAUGCUGAUGAAAUUCUCGCAUUAAAAAAACUGGUUUUAAAGUAUAGUGAGAUAUCUAGAUAUGAUUUAUAUAUAUAUAUAUAUUUUAAUAUAUAUAUAUAUAUAUAUAUAUAUGUUUAAUUAAAUGUCUGUUGAGCUUAAAAUUUGUACAAAUUCACACUACCUUAUGUUUAAUUUUUAUAAAAUAAAUUAGGAUGGUUAGAUUUAUAUUAUUUAAUAUUACUGCUCUAACUGUUGUCUUUAAAGACUUGAUGGAUUGUUCAUGGACUACACACUGUUUCUCCACCCAUGGCUAGGCUCCUCUUUGCUGGCUACAUAGCCUUACUGCUCCUGCUGCUAGUCUUCCAAAACAGCAACUGCAAGGAUACCAAUCCCUGUGCCCCUUCUUCAUGUGGCAACCAGACUAUUAGCUACCCCUUUAGCCUAAACAGUAGUGAUCCAUUAAACUGUGGAAACGCUCUCUAUACCCUCCACUGCGAGAAAAAUACCUCCACAGUUUUGUAUUUAGACUCACGAAAAUACUACGUGCAGGCAAUCAACUACAACAACUUGACAAUCCGAGUGGUUGAUGCUGGUGUUGAAGAAAAUGAUUGCUCUUCGCUUCCUGAUUUUUCUUUAGCAUUUGAUAGCCUAGGUAAUUCCAUAAGGGCAUAUAAUUUUUUUACUUUAGCAUUUACAAGGUUCAAUUAUAUCACAUAUCCAUAUACAUGGUUUCAAUGCAAAAGGACACGGCCGAAAUGUUGGUGGGAGAAACCACUGGUGGUGGCUUUGAGACACUCAGAAGGGAUAAAACACACUGGUUUUAUUACAAAAUCCGAAGCUUACAAAUAACACAAAACAAAAGCUUAAUACACGCCCUCUCUCUCUCUUUCUCUUUCAAGUGUUUCUCUCUAUUCUCUCCACACAAAUAAACACAAGCUGGGCACUCUAUUUAUAGACAAAAUCAGAAUACGAAAAUCUACUGUUCCAGGUGUGAAGGCGGCUGUUGACCGGUGGUGUGAAGGCGGCUGGCGGCUGCGGCUGGUGGCUGGUCGGCGACUGGUGGCUGGUUGCCAAACUUGACCUUCUGGGAGGUUCUGGAUAUAUUGAGUUUAAUAUUCUACAAAUCUCCCCCUUAAACUCAAUCGAGGGAUGUCAUGCCAAGCAUGAACUUUAAUCGGAUGAAUGCUUCUCCCUUCAAUGGCUUUGUGAAGAUGUCAGCAACUUGAUCAUUUGUGUUGCAAGAUAUCAGUUGGACUUCUUCAUUCUUCACAUGUUCCCGGAUAAAGUGAUGACGUGUAUCAAUGUGUUUGCUCCUCUCAUGAUACACUGGAUUCUUUGCUAAUGCGAUUGCUGAUCGAUUGUCAAUAUAAAUCUCCGCAGGACUUUCUUGAGGAAAUCCCAAAAACUUCAGCAUAUUCCUUAACCAUAUUGAAUGGCAUACGGCUGAGUUGGCAGCAACAUACUCAGCUUCACAGCUUGAUAAUGUGACAAUCGAUUGCUUCUUGGAUGACCAUGUGAAAGAUGUGUCUCCCAUGAAAAAGACAAACCCUGUUGUGCUUUUCCUUUCAUCCAGAUCUCUACCCCAAUCACUAUCCGAGUAGCCUACAAGAUUAAAGUCUUUACUUGAGGUAUAAAACAUACCUUCAUUCAUUGUGCCUUUGAUGUAGCGAAGAAUUCUCUUGGCUGCAUUCAAAUGAGACUGGUCUGGUGUCUCCAUGUAUCUGCUGACGAGUCCGACUCCGUAGAGUAUAUCCGGUCUGGUACAUGUCAAGUACCUUAAGCUUCCUACUAAGCUUUUGAAGUAAGUUGGAUCAACAUUUCCAACCUUACUCUUCCUCAAUUCCACUCCAUUCUCAACUGGAGUUGAUACCGGAUUGCAGCUUUCCAUCUUGAACCUUUCAAGAAUAUCUUUGGCGUAACCGCUUUGGGAUACAAAAAUCCCUUCUUCCUUCUGCGUUACUUCUAAGCCAAGAAAAUGUGACAUUAGACCAAUGUCAGUCAUUUCAAACUCCUGUACCAUGCUUCGUUUGAAGUCGUCAAACAUGGUAGGGUUGUUGCCGGUGAAUAUCAAAUCAUCAACAUACAGGCACACAAAUAAGAUGCUGCCAUCUGCUCCUUUCUUCACAUACAUUGCGUGUUCAUAUGGACAUUUUUCAAAUCCAUUAUCUUGAAAAUACCUGUCAAUUCUGGUAUUCCAAGCACGCGGAGCUUGCUUCAAACCAUAGAGAGCCUUCUUCAACUUGUAUACUUUGCCUUCAUUUUCAGCAUCAAUGUAUCCAAGUGGUUGUUCAACAUAGAUUUCUUCUUCUAGGAAGCCAUUCAGAAAUGCUGACUUCACAUCGAGUUGAUAGAUCUUCCAUCUAUGUUGUGCAGCUAGUGAAAUCAUCAGUCUGAUUGUCUCUAGCCGGGCUACUGGAGCAAAUACUUCUCCAUAGUCAAUGCCUUCUCUCUGUUUGUAGCCUUUAGCCACUAAUCUGGCUUUGUAUCUUUGCACAUCUCCUUUGGCGUUCUUCUUCGUCUUGUAGACCCAUUUGACACCUAUUGCUUUCUUGUUUUCUGGUAGAUAAGUCAGCUUCCAGGUAUCAUUCUUCUCAAUGGCAUGUAUUUCUUCAUCCAUUGCUUCUAUCCAUUUCUCUUCUGUGACAGCUUCAUUGAAGUUUAAUGGGUCACUAUCUGCAAAGAAACAAAACAGAGUUGUAUCUUCCAUGACCUGAGUGGUAUCGUACAACUCUUCAAGAUUCCGCAUCCUUCUUGGUCCUUCUGAUGAGGAUGCUGGUGGUGUUGAUGAUGAUGCUCCUGGUGUGUUCCUCCUGUUGAAUACAGGGAAACUGUGUGCCGGACUUUGUGGUUCAGCUGCUGGCACAAUCGGUUCUUCGACAAGUACUGUUGGUACUUCUUCACCUUCAAGGAUCAAAUCAGUGUUGAUCCAUCUGACUGCUUCUUGAUCACCAUUCCAUGCCCAAGAUUUAUCUUCUUCAAAGAUAACAUCUCUACUCGUAAUCACCUUCUUCGUGAUGGGAUUAUACAGCCUGUAUCCCAUCCUUCUUUCACCAUAUCCGACAAAGAUGCAUUUCUCGCUCUUAUCAUCGAGCUUUCUCCUUCUUGCAUCUGGGAUCUUUGCAUAUGCCACACAACCAAAGACUCGUAGAUGAGUAACACUUGGUUUGUGACCACUCCAUGCUUCUUCUGGAGUAACACCUUGCAAACUUCUGGUCGGGCAGCGAUUCAACAGAUACACUGCACAUGAUACAGCUUCAGCCCAGUAUUGCUUGGGCAGCUUCUUUGCUUUGAGCAAACUUCUAGCCAUGUCAAGAAUCGUGCGAUUCUUCCUUUCUGCUACACCGUUCAGCUGUGGUGUAUAAGCUGGCGUCGUCUGAUGUCUGAUGCCUUGUUGUGUACAAUAGGCUUCAAAGUCGUUGGCUGUAUAUUCUCCUCCUUGAUCAGAUCUCACUGUUCUGAUCGUAUAACCAGUUUGCUUCUCCACAAUUGCUUUAAAAUCUUUAAAACAAUUGAAUACUUCUGACUUCCUCUUCAAAAAGUAUAUCCACGUCUUUCUACUAAAAUCAUCAGUAAAAGUGAGGAAGUACCUAUUUUGUCCAGUCGACAUAGGCGUAAUUGGGCCACACACAUCUGUGUGUACUAACUCCAGUGGCCUCUUUGCUCUCCAGUUGACUUCUUUGGCAAAACUGGAUCUGUGAUGUUUGCUGAGGACACAACUCUCACAGACUUCAUCUGGAUGAUCAAUGUGAGGCAAACCUUUGACCAUCUUAUAAACACACAUCUAGAUUUUAGAUGAUUUUUCAACUAGGCGAAAAAAAUUCUAACACCAAACCUAACUCAUG
rnacentral:lncRNA from 1 species